UGGGAGUCACGUCGGUAGCGCGUUGCGUAAGGCGUGUGUUGGGGGGCGGAUUGGCUGCUCCUCUUUUAUGGCCCUUGCCCUAAUUAUCCCUGCUAAUUAAUCUCCUUGAUGAACAGGAGCCUGGGGUGAAGGCACUCCUGACAUCGUGGCGUGGUGUAAGGAGGAGAGCAAAGCAAAAUUUGGGGAAUCCUUUCCACUAUUAGAGGGAAUUUCUCCAAGCUGUAGUGCUGAUGGCUGCAGCAGAGAGCCCGGAGCUGAGCAGAAAAUGCGAACGGGUCAUUGCAUCAACAGCUGGAAAAAGGCAGUGGCUGUGAACAUGUAAGCCAGCUUUGCAAACUUCUCAGCAGCUCAUUUUCUUCCCCGCUCCUUUUUUUUACCCCUCUGCACACUGUCCAUGAGACGAUGCAGUUGUUAUUCCGACCUGUGCACAAGAAGCUCACUUCUACCUGGUCAGGCUUCAUGCUCUGCCGUGCCGGCGUCUGCUACCCUGGGUGCAAUUGCUCUUAACGGUGUCUGGUUCUCAUUUUGAUGCUUGGCAAACUUAGCGUGCUCCUGACAUUUGCAAACAGUAGAGUGCUUUCCUGAGCUUCCCUGCAGGGUCUGUCCUGGGUCUGCAUGUACGCAGGGUGCAGAGUUGUGGUAAUCUAUGGUCACUCAGCCAGGAGCACACGCUGCUUUCUGAGCUGCCGGCACUGCUAUUUGCCUGCUGCUGGCAUCCCUGCUUCUUCCAGCUUUGGGCUGUGAUGUGAUGUGUGACUGCGGCACAGAAAGGCUUUUUGCAUUCUCAGACUGUUUGGUGUUUUUACACUGGUUUUUACCCUUUACUAUUGUCUGCCUCAACACAGCAUUAGUAAAUGAUGCUGCAAUUGCUGUGCCACCUAGAUUAGGUUUCCUGCUAGGAGCUCGGUGCUUGCCAGAGGAGAAAGGGAGCCUCGUGUCCCUGCUAUGUCGGGUGCAGGAAAUGAAGUACAGAAAGAAGUGAUUUAGUGGUGAUCACAGGGCAGGGCGUGGAUGGAAAUAGGGAUGCCCUGAUUCACUGAGCUCCUCUCUACUGCUGAAGCAUGCUGCUGGAUCCCACAACCCCGCAGUGAACCCUGGAGGAUUACAUGGAGCUUUGUCACUAAUCUCUCUGUCUGGGCUCCACGGAUCUCCUUGAGCCGUCUUUCUGUGGGCCCAAACAUGUACAUGUAAGCAGAUCCUGCUUUCAGACAAACCCCACACGGUUCCUCUCCUGCAGUUCCCAAGCAGUUUUGGGACCAAGGCCACUUUGCAGGGAGCAAAACUUCCAGCAUCCUGGCUCCUACCACACCUGCAGCCCCUGCUCCGGGCUGUGUUUGCCCUCUGCCUGUGAUGGGAAGAGCAGGGCAUCGAUUGCAGCAUGCAGGUGAAAAUGGAUUGCGACCUGCUGCCUGCCGCACUAACACAGCUGAUUAGCACCGGUGCGUGUCUCUGCCAGGAUGGAUCUUGCAGGUGAGAACGUUCCGAGAGCAGCUGAGGCCCUGCAGUCACCAUCCGCUCGCCGCUGGCUCGGUCUGCUCACUGCUUUGCAGCCAGGACACCGGCAGUGCUUCUUCUCCACUUUUCCUAUUCCUGGAGCCUCCUUGUCAGCCGUGUGCGCCCUCACGCUGGCUGCCCACAGUGCUGGCACUUGCAGGCUGUUAUUGCAAAAGCUCAGCUCUGCAGAGCCAGGCUGGCAGUCCCAAGAAGACGUCUGGUCCUGAGCGGGGUCACCCAUCCCUGCAUGGCUCUGCGGGGUCCGGCGGCAUCAUCCCAUCAUCCGCUUCAUAACCGUUGCUAAUUGGAAAAUGAAACCAUAAGAAGAAAAUCUGCUUCAAGUUAUUGCAUGGGCUUUUGUCCCCCACCGAGGAGGCACAAAUCAAGGAAUCAGAAUGUUUAACAAAACAAACAGAGAUUUCUUUGGUAUUGUGGGAGAUUUAUAGGCUGCGGCAUCCAGAGAAGCCUCCUCCCGCUCCGUCCUUCUGCUUGAAUUCCUGCUGGUCACUGACUUAUUACUUUUCUUACUGCUUCCCCUGCUUUAAAAGUGGGGAAAGCACAAUCAAAUUAUCAUAAUACUCAUUUGGUUAAUUGCCCAUUUAGUUACUUAUUGAGUUCAUUAAAAAGACAGUGUCAGUUAGGAGGAAAUGCAGAGAGGUGGGCAGUGAGGGGACAGGAUGUGGGCUGAAAUAGGCCAUUACUCCGGCCCCGAGAAUGGCAGUUUGUGUCCCUUCUUUAUUGCUGCAUCACUUCUGUGCAUGAUUUGUUCUGGAUAAAAAAAAAAAAAAACCCAAACCAACCCAACAAGCACAAAGCAAAAGGAGAAAGCCUGCUGCCGCAGAUCUCCAUUGCGCGUUAGAAUCCAUUUAGCAUCAAUCCAAAGCUCUGCAGAAGCCCAAACCACCUAUUUUAGGAUCCUUUUUUCAGCUGAGAAAAAUGUGCUGCUCCACAGGUCAGGAGCUGCCUGCAAUUAUGACCCCGAAUAGAUAGAAACGUUGCUUCUUGAGACAAAUUCCAUCUGACAGUUUUUACAGUACGUUCGUUCAGAGCAAAAUGCCCUGUCCCCUGUCACCCGGAUUGAAAUUAUUAAGGAAGACAGACAUUUCACUGACAACUCUAGCCUGCGGGGGGAAAAUAUUCCUUCUGUUCCCCUCUGAAGGUCAGAGCUCACAUAAUGCAGAACACUUAGAGCACGCGCACACACGCUCACACACACACGGAAUAGAAGUUUCUCUGCAGCGGGGCUGUGGAUGGAUGCUGGGGCAAGCAGGUGCCUGCUGCACGCGUGUUGGAGGACUGGGGACAAAGAGGCUGAGGUUGUGUGUCUGCAGCUGGAAGUUUUCCUUGUCUGGUCCAUGGGUAACGCAUGGAGAGUGCGCUCACUCUGUAGGUGCGCCCUUCUGGCAGGCUGAAGGGUCCACGUGUGCCAUGGGUGCUGCCUUCCAUCCCUGCUCAGGUGCCUUUCUGUGCUGGGGGAGAGGCCCAGCCCGGCCCCUUUGUGCCCCCCAGCCCCACUCCUCCUGGCUGCACAUUGGCUGUCACUCACCGUGCCCCGGUGUGGGUCCUCGGGCUCACUCAAUCUAGGGCUGAAAAUUGGUCUUGAGUCAAGGUGGCCGGAGGUGAGAAAUCAGCCUGCAGCUCAUUAACCUUUCCUCAGCUCUGCCGGCACUUCGGUCCCUGCUGGCUGUGUGUGUGGUAUGGGGACAUCUGCACCAGGUGCUGUCCCUCCCUGCCUUCCCAGCCCGUACUGCAAACAAAUCCCAAAUCAGCGUCCAACCAGCAUCAGCACCAAAGCUGGAUGCAGAGCUCAGGAGCCUUUUACUCCACACUUACUCAUGGAUAAAGGGUGGAAAACCAAUUCCUGAUCCACGCCGCUCCAGCUGUGCCAUCCUCC
ensembl:lncRNA